ACAUACCAUGACUAGAAUACCUUGUCUACAUACCAUGACUAGAAUACCUUGUCUAAAAAGUAUUUUAGUCAUGUAUGUAGACAAGGUAUUCUAGUCAUGAUAUGUA
rnacentral:pre_miRNA from 1 species